UUACGGUCACAUCACGUUGAAAAACCGGUUCCCGUAGGAUCACGGAAGUUAAGCAAUGUCAAGCCUGGUCAUUACCGAGAUGGGUGACCGCUUAGGAAAACCAGUUGUAGUA